rnacentral:lncRNA from 1 species
GAGAGACAGAGAGAGAGGGGAGCGAGGAGGCUGCUUGGUGGCUCCGGGCGCUUUGGCAGCAGCGCCUGCUCUCAACUACCGGGGAUGGGGCGGGCGCGGGGAGGGAAGAGAAGGAUCGGCCCUUCGCAGGCUCCCCUUGCUCUGGGCUGCUCCUUCCUAGGUUCUGUUUCUUUGAUCUUCUUCAGCCAUUGGAAUCUUACUGUUCUUCUUAUUAUUGUUGCAUGGUAUUCAGCCGAGCUCUAUGCACAGUAGGCCCAUUGGUUACCAAGGCUAAGUUAGUUGUGUCUAUUAACUUCGACGGCGGAACUAGCUUUGGAUACAAAGUGCUGCUACUGUGAUCUAAGUGCUACUCAGAGCAAAGCCAUUGGAAUUAAUAGAUCUGUUAGGCAUGGCCACUGAUUUCAGAGGCACUGCUCUAACUAGGACUAAGAUUGGAUAUAAACUAUUAGCUUCACCGUCUGUGUUAAGGAGGAAUGACCAUAACUUGUGUAAUUGGUUGUAAAUCACUUAGAAUCCUAAAAACCCCUGCCUGAGACUUUGCUAGAGCUCAGUGUAGAUCAGGUGGCUAUGUCCUUCUAGGUAUUGUUGGCCAGGCUAGCUGGGACUGAUACGAGUUGAAAUCCAGCAACAUUUGGAGGCAGCAGGUCAACCAUCCCUGGUGUAGACAGUGCUGAACAAUGUGGACCAAUCACAUGACAUUGAGGCAGGUUCCUAUGCUCCUAAUCAUGGUCAUAAUGAUCAUCAUCGUUGGCGAAGGAGGAGAGGGAGUAAAUAGCAGAGCAACUCUAAGCAGGUUCACUCAGAAGCAUGUUCCAAACAUGGCUCAUUAUCAGGCAAGUGUAAACAGGACUGUAGCCAGAGAGAGGGGUAUUGGAGAGGGGGGAAAGUUGGUCAGGGCAUGAAAGAUGUUGCCUUUUUCUGUGAGGAUUUUUACACUGGCUUCCUUCUUGGGCUAUUGUUGAUAGGUAGGCCUGCCAUAGCUAUGCUUGAUUGGGGGAAAAAGAGAAAGGAAUCUCAGAAAUGGUAACAGAACAAGGUAAAAGCUAACAAACCCAGAACAUUUCUAGAACAUCAGCCAGCCUUGCCUGCAGUGCCAGUCUCUUUUUUGCUCAAUAUUCCUUCUGUGCCCCCAGCCAAGCUUAAGAGGCUCUAGCUCCCUCUGCCUGCCCUCUGCUUCUAGGGUCUAUGAGUUCAAGGUCAACUUCCAGACAACCUGUUUAUUGAGCAUCCAUCCUGGUUUGUUUGCAGGGGUUACACAUCAUAACAAGCAAUUGUUAUGUCACACUUUCCAGUGUGCACUUUCCAUCACAGCAAAUACAGUGGUACCUCGGGUUAAGUACUUAAUUCGUUCCGGAGGUCUGUUCUUAACCUGAAACUGUUCUUAACCUGAAGCACCACUUUAGCUAAUGGGGCCUCCUGCUGCCGCCGUGCCGCCGGAGCAGAAUUUCUGUUCUCAUCCUGAAGCAAAGUUCUUAAUCUGAAGCACUAUUUCUGGGUUAGCAGAAUCUGGAGCGUAUGUAACCUGAAGCGUAUGUAACCUGAAGCGUAUGUAACCCGAGGUACCACUGUAGUCUGAUAUUUUUGUUGUCCACUUUUAUUGUGCAACCUGAAUUUGUUGGCAUGAGCUUGACUCCCUCUCACAAAACAGCAACACUCAAGAAGGACCCUAAUAGUAUAUUGGCAUCUUAAAGAUAAGCAGAUUGACAACAAGUCUAUGCAUGUAUACUCAGACAUGUGUUCUGUUGGAUGAAAUUAGGAGGACUUCUCCAAGAUAAGUGUAUAAUAGGACUGCAGCUUCAUUGUUGCAGAAACAGUGAUUAACUAGAGCCUUUGUCAUAAACAUUAAUUUAGCAGAUUUUUCCAUCAUUGCCACACUUCAUUUAUUUAGAACUCCAAACAACUUAUUUAAUGAGCGUGCAUCUUGAUUUGCUUGCAGAAAGCUUAUGAAGAGGUUAGAUUAUAUCCAGUCUUUAUUGAGCAUCCAUUCUGAUUUGUUUGUGUAGAGGUUAUAUAAAAAAUGAUCGUUCAUCCUGAUUUGCUUGUGGUAGGUUUAUAUGUGUUCCUGUUAUUCAUUCAUUCAUUCAUUCAUUUCAUAGUAUUCAAUACAUUUCCCCACCACUUUUCUAGCCACAAAAUGCCCUUUUCUUUUUUUAGAGUGGAUUUGUUGUACUAGGGUGGCAGUAUACUUGAUCUACUUAUGUUGCACAAACCUAAAUGUGCUUGAAUCCUUCCUGUGAAAUAGUGACAAUUCAGGAAGCACACCUUAUUAUUACAUUUGCAUCCCACACUUGUUCAAAGGAGCACAGCAAAGCAUACAAGGUGCUUUCCCACCCAUUUAAUCCUCACAACAAUCACCUGAGGUAGCAAGGGUCUGGCCCAGUGGGUUUGAUAGAUGAGUGGCAAUUUGAACUUGAGUCCUAGUUCAACACUAGGCAUGACUCUGGGAUGGGAAACCAUCAACCAUUCAACCGUGAUUUACCUUUAUUCACAGCUGCCCCACACUGGAUGACAUCUUCAUCUAGCUAUCCGGUGUGACCCCAAGCUUAUUUAUUUGUCAUGCAGAGGACUGGCAAAUAAUGGCCCAGGAGAUGACAUCAUCAUCCCUUCUGUGUUUAUGGUAGCACUUCAUCCCUGCCUGUCACUGUUCCCCAUCACUGCUCAGUAUGUGCCUGUUCCAUGCAAAACUGAAAUGAAAGAGUGACCGACCUUCACAACAGAGUGAUAAUUGGUGGCAGUGCCGUCUUCCUAGUUUUCCUAUCCUAAUUAAACAUUUUUUCUCGCACUACAGAUGUUAAAAUUCAUGAAUGGGAUGAAGUGGCUUCUAACUCGCGAAAACAUAUGUUGUAAUAAUUGGCUUAGUUUUAGCAGUCAUUUUUAUUGCAAUAGAUGAGCACUACUUCCCUCGCUGGAAUUUGUCACCACUAUCUGGACAAACGUCAUCCACUACAUUCCCUACCAAUCACAGAUUUCUGCAAGAGAUGGCAUCAGAACUUGUCAAAAACUUGGGGAGAAAAGUGUUCACUUUGCAUUUUCAUGCAAGCCAAAUUAAUUUGCACUUUCUGAACCCAUAAACAAAC